GUGCUGAUCAAAAUCCGUGUCACUGAAUUCAUCAUCUUUAUAUCUAGAUUUGUUCUCAUUUAUGUUCAUCUGGAAGUCAACCCCAUCGUGUCCCUCUUUUUGCUGCUGCAGACGUUUAAGAUAUGUUGACUGUCUUCUCCGAAGAUCCAUUGAAAUGUUUUGAAGGUCUGUUGCAAGAGAACGCUGCACAUUUUUUCUAAUAUUUGAAUCC
rnacentral:misc_RNA from 1 species